GACAUCUCAUCCAUGAUGUUGUGGUGAGCGGUGGGGGAAAGGAAGGCAUGGCCGAGGUGGAGCUGGUUCGCCGCCGGCAGGAGCAGGCCGCGCAUGUUGACGGAGAGGAGGUUGGUGCAGUGUCCGCAUCUGACUGUCACCGUCUUAAAGAGACUGCUGCAAGGGACACUCACCGCUAGGACGGUGUCGCAAAAGUUGCAGUGGACAUAGCAGAGCUGCUCGGAGG
rnacentral:misc_RNA from 1 species